AAGGCCCUUCGGGGUACACGAGCGGCGAACGGGUGAGUAACACGUGAGCAACCUGCCCCUGACUCUGGGAUAAGCGGUGGAAACGCCGUCUAAUACCGGAUACGACCUUUCGGCUCAUGCCGUUGGGUGGAAAGUUUUUUCGGUCAGGGAUGGGCUCGCGGCCUAUCAGCUUGUUGGUGGGGUAACGGCCUACCAAGGCGAUUACGGGUAGCCGGCCUGAGAGGGCGACCGGCCACACUGGGACUGAGACACGGCCCAGACUCCUGCGGGAGGCAGCAGUGGGGAAUAUUGCGCAAUGGGCGAAAGCCUGACGCAGCGACGCCGCGUGGGGGAUGACGGCCUUCGGGUUGUAAACCUCUUUUACCACCAACGCAGGCUCCGGGUUUUCUCGGGGUUGACGGUAGGUGGGGAAUAAGGACCGGCUAACUACGUGCCAGCAGCCGCGGUAAUACGUAGGGUCCGAGCGUUGUCCGGAAUUAUUGGGCGUAAAAGAGCUCGUAGGCGGCGUGUCGCGUCUGCUGUGAAAGACCGGGGGCUUAACUCCGGUUCUGCAGUGGAUACGGGCAUGCUAGAGGUAGGUAGGGGAGACUGGAAUUCCUGGUGUAGCGGUGAAAUGCGCAGAUAUCAGGAGGGAACACCGGUGGGAGAAGGCGGCUCUCUGGGGCCUUACCGUGACGCUGAGGAGCGAAAGCAUGGUGCAGCGAACAGUGAUUAGACACCCUGGAAUCCAUGGCCGUGAUACGGUGGGUCGCUA
rnacentral:rRNA from 1 species